rnacentral:rRNA from 1 species
UACGUAGGAGGCAAGCGUUGUCCGGAAUUACUGGGCGUAAAGCGCGUGUAGGUGGUGGGACAAGUCUGCUGUGAAAGCGCCUGGCUUAACCGGGCGAGGUCGGCGGAAACUGUCCGACUAGAGGACGGUAGGAGGGGGGUGGAAUUCCCGGUGUAGUGGUGAAAUGCGUAGAGAUCGGGAGGAACACCGGUGGCGAAGGCGGGGUCUCUGGGCCGAUACUGGACGCUGAGGAGCGAAAGCGUGGGGAGCGAACAGG